AGAUUGAACGCUGGCGGCAUGCCUAACACAUGCAAGUCGAACGGGAGUAGCAAUACUCUAGUGGCGGACGGGUGAGGAAUACGUAGGAAUUUGCCCUUAAGUGGGGGAUAACCCGGGGAAACCCGGAUUAAUACCGCAUGACCUCGAAAGAGCAAAGUGGGGGAUCGCAAGACCUCACGCUUUUGGAGAAGCCUACGUCGGAUUAGCUAGUUGGUGAGGUAAUGGCUCACCAAGGCGACGAUCCGUAACUGGUCUGAGAGGAUGAUCAGUCACACCGGAACUGAGACACGGUCCGGACUCCUACGGGAGGCAGCAGUGGGGAAUAUUGGACAAUGGGCGCAAGCCUGAUCCAGCAAUGCCGCGUGUGUGAAGAAGGCCUGGUUGUAAAGUACACUUAAGUUAGGGUAAGAAAAAACUACGACUCUAACACAAGUGAGUCUUGUACGUACCGACCAGAAUAAGACACCGACGUAACUACUGUGCCAGCGACGCCGCGGUAA
rnacentral:rRNA from 1 species